rnacentral:rRNA from 1 species
GACGAACGCUGGCGGCGUGCUUAACACAUGCAAGUCGAACGGAAAGGCCCUGCUUUUGUGGGGUGCUCGAGUGGCGAAAGGGUGAGUAACACGUGAGUAACCUGCCCUUGACUUUGGGAUAACUUCAGGAAACUGGGGCUAAUACCGGAUAGGAGCUCCUGCUGCAUGGUGGGGGUUGGAAAGUUUCGGCGGUUGGGGAUGGACUCGCGGCUUAUCAGCUUGUUGGUGGGGUAGUGGCUUACCAAGGCUUUGACGGGUAGCCGGCCUGAGAGGGUGACCGGCCACAUUGGGACUGAGGUACGGCCCAGACUCCUACGGGAGGCAUCAGUGGGGAAUAUUGCACAAUGGGCGGAAGCCUUAAGCAGCAACGCCGCGUGCUGGAUGACUGCCUUCGGGUUGUAAACCGCUUUCGCCUGUGACGAAGCGUGAGUGACGGUAAUGGGUAAAGAAGCACCGGCUAACUACGUG